AUUGAACGCUGGCGGCAGGCCUAACACAUGCAAGUCGAACGAGUGGCGGACGGGUGAGUAAUGUCUGGGAAACUGCCCGAUGGGGGGGGAUAACUACUGGAAACGGUAGCUACUACCGCAUACCAUCAGAUGUGCCCCGAUGGGAUUAGCUAGUAGGGGGGGUAACGGCUCACCUAGGCGACGAUCCCUAGCUGGUCUGUGAGGAUGACCAGCCCCACUGGAACUGAGACACGGGCCAGACUCCUACGGGAGGCAGCAGUGGGGAAUAUUGGACAAUGGGCGCAAGCCUUAUGCAGCCAUGCCGCGUGUAUGAAGAAGGCCUUCGGGUUGUAAAGUACUUUCAGCGGGGAGGCGUUACCCGCAGAAGAAGCACCGGCUAACUCCGUGCCAGCAGCCGCGGUAAUUC
rnacentral:rRNA from 1 species